AUGGCAAAAUAGAAAUACGAUAUUUUGAAUGACUACCUGUCCAGCGUUUCUUUUCACUUUCUCUCUCUUCCCUAUGCUUUCUCUCUCUUCCCUUGAAGUCUCUCUGCUGCGAUUUUACUACUUCGAUUUCGCGUCUCAAAACUUCGAUUAGCUAUUUCUUGUUGUUUUUGGAGAGGUGAACAGGCUGGUGUCAGUAUCGAUGAUGUUUUGCGCUUUUCAUGCUUUAGCAUUUUUGUUCCGAAAGGAGUUGGAUUUCUAUUUACUGAAAUUAUAGAAUUCAAUUUACUGCCGAGGUUGCUGCUGUUCUGCCAAGGCUACUGCUGCAGCUGCUGCCUUGCCAAGGCUGCUACUGCCCUGCCAUGUCUUGCUGCUGCUAUGCUACUUCUACUCUGCCACUUGCUGCAGCUAUGCUACUUCUGCUCUGCCGCUUGCUGUUUUAAAUGUUACUCUACGUUUAUAUUUUUGGAUGAAUGUGAAUAAAUUAUGUUACCUUGUAUAGUCGUAUUAUAUUUUUGGAUAAAUUUUGUAAUAUUACAGCCAUCUGUUAAUAUAAAUAUCCAAGUUAAAUAUAUGUUAGUGUUUGUACAUCAAUUAAAGUGAAAAAAUCCAAGUUUAUAUAUAUUUUUUAUUUA